UAAUUAAUUCAAUGAAAAAUAAAAAAUAAAAAAAAAUAAUUAAUUCAAUGGCAUUGUGUUGUAAAUAACUUGUAAGUUUUAGUUUUAUUUUUUAUUUGUAUUUCAGUUUUAAUAAAUUAGAUAUUUUUGAGGUGACUGAUUGGUCGAAGUGGUGGAAUUAAUAGUUUGUUUCAAACUCCAUUUUCCAGCUUUUGUAAAAAAUUAUUAAUUAAACUUGAUA
rnacentral:lncRNA from 1 species